UGCGUAGGUGGCGCCAUAAGUCAGGUGUGAAAUCUCGGGGCUCAACCCCGAAACUGCACUUGAUACUGUGGUGCUCGAGUACUGGAGAGGAGAUUGGAAUUUACGGUGUAGCAGUGAAAUGCGUAGAUAUCGUAAGGAAGACCAGUGGCGAAGGCGAAUCUCUGGACAGUUACUGACACUGAGGCACGAAGGCCAGGGGAGCAAACG
rnacentral:rRNA from 1 species